CUGACCUCAAAUCAGGCAGGACUACCCGCUGAACUUAA
rnacentral:rRNA from 3 species